rnacentral:rRNA from 1 species
AUUUUUUGGAGAGUUUGAUCCUGGCUCAGGACGAACGCUGGCGGCGUGCUUAACACAUGCAAGUCGAGCGGAAAGGCCCUUCGGGGUACUCGAGCGGCGAACGGG